GAAAUCGGGACAGUCAAUUCAUAGAUUCUUUCUACGUACACUUGCUCGAAGCCUUGGCUGCAGCGACUCUAAAUAAAUGCAACUGGUCUGCGAUGAUUUAAAAGCUUCGCAGGCGACACCGUUCAAAUGCUGGAAUUGAAACACCUGCAAAUUGCAAACCAAUUCAUAUCAGCUGCCCGACUUUCAUGUGAAAAUCGGGUUCACAGAUCAAUCAACGGUGAUCAUCUCUGAAGGACAGUUAAACCGCCGU
rnacentral:misc_RNA from 1 species